UAGGUUAGGCAGGACGGCGCGACGUCGCUACCAGUCGCUACGCGUCGCGGCGCAUUUCAACUCGCAUCUUCAUCGUCCCAUACGAGUUUUUGAGGCGAGCGAGUGUUUCGAAAGUACCGUGGAGUGUCGGGUGUUCGUACUAACAUCCGUCGUGUCAGAAUCGAAUACGAUGCAUGAUGCGAAGUCGUGUCGUGUUCAAUCGUGUUUUGCAUUUUCUCCAUUGCCUCGUAUCCCGAGUUUUCGACGUCCAGGAGUGCCGUAAACAAAAGGUCGCGCGUUCGUGGUAAAUGCGAAUCAAGACCAAUCGUCGUGAGCAGGAUCUUGGAUCUCGAGUGUAUAACAUACUAGUGGACGUUUGGGGGCGCUAAUGAACGGGGACUCAAUCGGUCCCACGAAAAAGGCUAGGAUGGCCGCUCUCAGGUUUUUCUUUGCUCCUUGGCCGCUACCGCGUUAGUGCGCUAUCGUCGCCGUUGCCGGUGCUGCCCGCUGCCAUUUCCGUGUUUGUUUUUGUUUCGCGUAGUCGAACGCUCUGUUUUUCGCGCGUGUAGAUACCGAGUUCGAAUUGUGUGCAGGUAUGCUUGCGAAAGUGCCGAAUGUUGUUAUACGUGCGUAACAGUGUCGUACGAGGAAACGAUCAUGCUAGCUCAUGAAGCUCGACAUUAUGUGCUCGAGUAGGACGCAUCAAGAUCGCGAAAAUGGUACGCGACUGGUGUCGUGCGAUCACGUUAGAUAGAUUUUCGAAUGGGAGCAAGUUGUUUCAUCUUUAUCUAUUUUAUCUACGCAUGCAUUCAUUAUUCGAACGGCUCUCACCGCUGCCUCGGUUGAUGUGACGCGGAACCUUUGUUCCUUGAUUCGCCACAUUUGUCGUUGCUUGCUUCUUCUCGGGCACUUUCCACGUUUGGUCAGAGAGGAAGUCAGAGAGGAACUUCUCUGAUCAAGUGUAAGAUGUCGAAAGUGACUAAUGUAAGAACGGACGAGCGUCUUAACGCGAAUCACAGCGUGAAAUAAUGCUAGGACGUUGUAUUCACGUUCGUGUGGGGUAUACUAUCUGCGAAAUCGGGAUCGAGAGUUAAAUAAAUAAGUAUCGGGCGAUCGUUAUUAAUGUGCAUUUCGAGGUGAGCAGUAAAACGAGAUGUCAACAGACUUUUUGCGAGAUGACAUCCAUGAAGUGUAACUUGAAUUCGGAAAAAGAAUACAGCAGCAGCAGCAGUGCAGUAAUAGCAACAACAAUCGAAUCGAGCGGAAAGGAAAUGCAGCAGCAGCAACAACCGAUUUACUCGCAGAUUUACAAGAUCUGAGAGGAGGAGGAGGCCUGGGAGAGGCAUCUGGCCCCGGCGGAGCAACCUUGGGUAAUCACCGUAGCUUCGUGGCUGAUUAACUCCGCUCGUUGCGCAUCGGAUCGGUGAGUUAGAAAUUAAUUUUUGUAUUGUAUUUUAAUGCUUUCUAAAUAAUCUGCGUAGGAUUAAAAAAAAUUACACUGUUACUAUUAACUCCUCAAUACACAUAAUUAAAAUACGCUAUCUCCGUGAUGAUAGCCGCUUACGAAGUUAGCAGCGAAAGAACCAAUCGGCAUCGCGGAAAAGCGACAACAAUAACUCGGAUAUAUUCUUUAAAUAUCUUUUUUUUUAGA